AUUGAACGCUGGCGGCAUGCUUUACACAUGCAAGUCGAACGGUAACAGGUCUUCGGAUGCUGACGAGUGGCGAACGGGUGAGUAAUGCAUCGGAACGUGCCCAGUCGUGGGGGAUAACGCAGCGAAAGCUGCGCUAAUACCGCAUACGAUCUAUGGAUGAAAGCGGGGGACCGUAAGGCCUCGCGCGAUUGGAGCGGCCGAUGGCAGAUUAGGUAGUUGGUGGGGUAAAGGCCCACCAAGCCAACGAUCUGUAGCUGGUCUGAGAGGACGACCAGCCACACUGGGACUGAGACACGGCCCAGACUCCUACGGGAGGCAGCAGUGGGGAAUUUUGGACAAAGGGCGCAAGCCUGAUCCAGCAAUGCCGCGUGCAGGAAGAAGGCCUUCGGGUUGUAAACUGCUUUUGUACGGAGCGAAAAGGCUCCCUCUAAUACAGGGGGCUCAUGACGGUACCGUAAGAAUAAGCACCGGCUAACUACGUGCCAGCCGCCGCGGUAACAC
rnacentral:rRNA from 1 species